CACACCUUCGAAAGAGCAGCGAAGGUGUCCUAAGUUGAGCUCAGUGAGGACAGAAAUCUCACGUUGAGGAUAAGGCCAAAAGCUCAAUUUACUGUGCCUUUUUGUACUAGGAUCAGUUACGAAAGUAAGGCCUAACGAUCCCUAAAUAGCCUCAGGUGCGUGAGGAUUGGGGUGACAGACAAGUUACCUCCGGGACAACUGGCUUGUGGCUGCUAAGAGAUCAAAUCAACGCAGCUUUUUGAUUCUUCGAUGUCGGCUCUUCCUAUCCUAGUGAUGUACAAGUUGCUAAGGGUCGGAUUGUUCACCCGUAUUAGGGAUCGUGAGCUGGGUUUAGACCGUCGUGAGCCAGGUUUGUUUUAUCCUACUGGAUAUAGCAUCAUGAUAGUAGAUUGAUUUAGUACGAGAGGAACUGUUGAUUAUGGCCUCUGGUUAGCGAUUAUCGGAAACGGUAUGUCGCGCAGCUACGCCGUCUGGGAUAAUGGCUGAAAGCCUCUUAAGCCAGAAGCCCAUCUAGAAAGUGAUGCACGUGAUGUUGGACCGAUACGAAUAAUCAUACUCAAAAGGUCCGCUUCAUAGGUAACCCAAUGUAGAAGACAUUGUGUGAACGAAGGUACUGUAAGCAGUGGAGUGGCAUUACGUCCACGACCUGUUGAGGUUCAGCUUCGCUUCUAGGUUUCC
rnacentral:ncRNA from 1 species